rnacentral:rRNA from 1 species
UGCAGUCGAGCGGUAGCACAGAGAGCUUGCUCUCGGGUGACGAGCGGCGGACGGGUGAGUAAUGUCUGGGAAACUGCCUGAUGGAGGGGGAUAACUACUGGAAACGGUAGCUAAUACCGCAUAACGUCGCAAGACCAAAGUGGGGGACCUUCGGGCCUCAUGCCAUCAGAUGUGCCCAGAUGGGAUUAGCUAGUAGGUGGGGUAAUGGCUCACCUAGGCGACGAUCCCUAGCUGGUCUGAGAGGAUGACCAGCCACACUGGAACUGAGACACGGUCCAGACUCCUACGGGAGGCAGCAGUGGGGAAUAUUGCACAAUGGGCGCAAGCCUGAUGCAGCCAUGCCGCGUGUAUGAAGAAGGCCUUCGGGUUGUAAAGUACUUUCAGCGAGGAGGAAGGCGUUAAGGUUAAUAACCUUGGCGAUUGACGUUACUCGCAGAAGAAGCACCGGCUAACUCCGUGCCAGCAGCCGCGGUAAUACGGAGGGUGCAAGCGUUAAUCGGAAUUACUGGGCGUAAAGCGCACGCAGGCGGUCUGUCAAGUCGGAUGUGAAAUCCCCGGGCUCAACCUGGGAACUGCAUUCGAAACUGGCAGGCUAGAGUCUUGUAGAGGGGGGUAGAAUUCCAGGUGUAGCGGUGAAAUGCGUAGAGAUCUGGAGGAAUACCGGUGGCGAAGGCGGCCCCCUGGACAAAGACUGACGCUCAGGUGCGAAAGCGUGGGGAGCAAACAGGAUUAGAUACCCUGGUAGUCCACGCCGUAAACGAUGUCGACUUGGAGGUUGUGCCCUUGAGGCGUGGCUUCCGGAGCUAACGCGUUAAGUCGACCGCCUGGGGAGUACGGCCGCAAGGUUAAAACUCAAAUGAAUUGACGGGGGCCCGCACAAGCGGUGGAGCAUGUGGUUUAAUUCGAUGCAACGCGAAGAACCUUACCUGGUCUUGACAUCCACAGAACUUUCCAGAGAUGGAUUGGUGCCUUCGGGAACUGUGAGACAGGUGCUGCAUGGCUGUCGU